AACAUGUCCUGUAGUGGGGGAUAGCCCGGCGAAAGCCGGAUUAAUACCGCAUACCAUCUACGGAUGAAAGCGGGGGACCUUCGGGCCUCGCGCUAUACGGUUGGCCGAUGGCUGAUUAGCUAGUUGGUGGGGUAAAGGCCUACCAAGGCGACGAUCAGUAGCUGGUCUGAGAGGACGACCAGCCUCACUGGGACUGACACACGGCCCAGACUCCGACGGGAGGCAGCAGUGGGGAAUUUUGGAC
rnacentral:rRNA from 1 species